GACGAACGCUGGCGGCGUGCUUAACACAUGCAAGUCGAACGAAGCACUCUAUUUGAUUUCCUUCGGGACUGUUUAUUUUGUGACUGAGUGGCGGACGGGAGAGUAACGUGUCGGUAAGCUGCCUUGUACAGGGGGAUAAUAGUUGGAAACGGCUGCUAAUACCGCAUAAGGGGCCAGCAUCGGAUGAGGCAGUUGGAAAAACUCCGGGGGUAUAAGAUGGACCUGCGUGGGUUUAGGUAGUCGGUGAGGUAACGGCCCACCCAGGCGACGAGCCAGAGCCGGCCGGGGAGCGUACCCGGCCCAAUUGGGACUGGGCCACGACCCAAACUCCAACGGGAGGCGGCGGUGGGGAAUAUUGCACAAGGGGCGAAAGCCAGAUGCGCCGACGCCGGGUGGGCGGAGAAGUAUUUCGAUAUGUAAAGCUCUAUCAGCGGGGAGGAUAAUACCGGAACCUGACUAGGAGGCACCGGCAAAUUACUU
rnacentral:rRNA from 1 species